UUCUCUAGAAUUUGAAUGAAAUAAUCCCGCUUUCACAUGUUUUGUAAGUUAAUUCUUAUUAACGCUUUCAUAUUUGAUUGCUGUUGUCAUAAUGGGCUACUUUUGAUCGUCGGGAGUUGGGUAGAUCUAUUACUAUGGAGUUGCAUUAGGCUGCAUUACCAGCUGAAUUUCAUGCUGCAGGAUUUUUCUUUUCUUUUCUCUUUUAUGUACUGAUCGUUGAUAAAAACAUAUAAUUGGACCACACAGCCCUAAAUUUGAUGAGCUAUCAAUGAUUAAUGAGCAAGUGAG
rnacentral:misc_RNA from 1 species